rnacentral:ribozyme from 1 species
AAACGAACGAAAAAAAAAAAAUGAGCAAAAAAAAAAGGAAUAGGACAGACAAAUCGCCAUUGUUUUUCACGCACUGCUUGUGUUAUAUCUUUUUGUUUUGUGUUGUUUUGCUGAGUGUUUGGGUUUGAUUUUUG